AUUGCCUCAGUAACGGCGAGUGAAGCGGCAAAAGCUCAAAUUUGAAAUCUAGCACUUUCAGUGUUCGAGUUGUAAUUUGAAGAAGGUAACUUUGGUUUUGGCUCUUGUCUAUGUUCCUUGGAACAGGACGUCACAGAGGGUGAGAAUCCCGUGCGAUGAGAUGCCCAAUUCCAUGUAAAGUGCUUUCGAAGAGUCGAGUUGUUUGGGAAUGCAGCUCUAAGUGGGUGGUAAAUUCCAUCUAAAGCUAAAUAUUGGCGAGAGACCGAUAGCGAACAAGUACAGUGAUGGAAAGAUGAAAAGAACUUUGAAAAGAGAGUGAAAAAGUACGUGAAAUUGUUGAAAGGGAAGGGCUUGAGAUCAGACUUGGUAUUUUGCGUUCCCUUCCUUUUUGGUUGGGUUCCUCGCAGUUUACUGGGCCAGCAUCGGUUUGGAUGGUAGGAUAAUGACAUUGGAAUGUAGCUUUACUUCGGUGAAGUGUUAUAGACUUUGUUGAUACUGCCUAUCUAGACCGAGGACUGCGUCUUUGACUAGGAUGCUGGCGUAAUGAUCUUAAGCCGCCCGUCUUGAAA
rnacentral:rRNA from 1 species